UACUUCCCCAACGCCGCAUCUAUUUAUGAAACAAUCGUUUCCUUACGCUGCCAAAUCCAACAAUUCCCUUUCUCAAUCAUCUCUCAAGUCUCAACUUGCAAUAUCAGAACCCUAACACCCGAAAAACAAUCGAAACCCUCCGAAAAUCCUUCUACCUUUCUACCUUAUACAAUGGCAAGCGAUUCUCAAGAUUCUGAUCGGAAACACCGGCGCUCUCCCUCCGAAGACGAUUCGCCGGAAAAUUCGAAGCGUCACAAGCACCGCCAUCACCGUCACCACCGCCGCCAUCGCCACCACCAUCGCCGAAGUAGCUCAAAGCACGAGGAUUCAAAGAAGGAUGAACUUAAGGCUGAAAUUAGAGAGGAAGUAGUUGAAGAGGUAAGAGAAAUUGUUAGCAAAAGACCUCCUCUUUUUGAUUCUGAUAUGGAGGAAGGUGAGAUAGUUGAAGAGGAAGGGGCUCUUGUCGCCGAAGCCGAAAAUGAUGAAAAAAAGAUCGUAUCGGAUGUCGAAUCAGGUGAAUUUGAGGCUGGUGAUGAUUCUUACAUGAGUGUUGAUGCUGCUUUAGAAAACCGAGGGAGUGAUGAUGUUUUGAUGCAAGCUGAUAAUAGUAGGAAGUCUACCAAGUACUUGAAGUCAACUGUAAGUGACGAGAGUGAUGAGAGUGAUGUAGAUAAGAGGCACUCUCAUCACGAUGAACUGCCAGUGUUGAAGGGGACGGCUAAUGGUGAUCUUCCUAUCAAAUCGAGUAAGGGAGAGUCUAAAUCACAUUCCAGAUGCAAGUCUCCUUUGAAAGAAAGCAGCAAGGGAAAGGAUCAACGUAAAAGCAAAGGCAAACGACAGGAUUUGGAAAUAAUGGAGAUGGAUGUAGAGGACCGUGGGGGUAGAAGAAAUUCAUAUUCUCAUAAGGUCAGAGAGGCUCACCAUGAAGCAAUGUAUCACUCCCCUUCUCAUGGAAGGUAUCAUUUAGAGACUAGUGAUAGGAGUAGGUCGGAGUCUCCUCAUCAGAUGAGGGAAAGAGAGCGCUCUCAAAGCAUUCUGCACGAGAGGCCUUCAAAAAUAAGGCAUCACCAUGAAAGGGAUGAAAGGCUGUAUAAUAAUGGCAAGGUUGAUUAUGAGGUGGACGAUGGAAGAGAUAGUAGUGCAGGAUAUAGAGCUAAUGGCGGAGAAAAGGCUAAGGAUAAAGGAGGAGUGGGUAAUUCCAACUAUCAGAGGUCUAGUGUGCGUGAGGGGAGGUAUAAAGAUGAUGAUUCUCGGGACAGAGAGACAGAUGAUAAUAUGUACCGGGAUAAGAAACGAAUGGAACAAGAGUCAACCAAAGAGAGGAGUGAACGGGAUCGUGACAGGAAUUGGGAAAAAGAACGAGAUAGGAUCCGGAGCAGAGACCAUGAAAGGGAGAAGGAUUCUGUUAGGGAUAGGGAGAGGCCUAGGGAGACAAGGAGUGAUAUUGACUGGAAUAGAGAUCGUGGUGGGAGCAAGGACGUGGACCUUGAAAGAGAAAGGAGAAGGGAAAAUGAUCGUGGUAGGAGCCGGGACAGGGAUCUUGAAAGGGACAGGAGGAGAGAUCAUAGCCUAUCGAUGUAUAAAGAUAGAGAUGCCGAUAGAGAAUUGGACAAGGUAAGAGACAGGUCUCGAAAACUGGAGAUGGAUAGGGGAAGGGACAGAUAUAGUGGCAGAGAUAGGCAUAGAGAUAAGGCUAGGGAUGAUGACAGUGAUAGGGGUAAAAGGUACCAUAAGUAUGAUGACCAUAAUGAUGGAUACAAUAAUCGAGAUAGGCAUGAUGAAGCAGAUUAUGACAGAAAGAUGAAACAUGAUUUACAGAAAGAUCAAGCCUCCAAAGAUAAUUUUCUGAAGGAAAAGGAGGAUGGAUUAAAUGGGGAUAAUGAUGAUCAGGAAGCACUGGAGUUGAAGCCUAUAGAGCAUGAAGAGGAUGAUAUUGACAAAAUCAAGGAGGAGAGUAGAAGGCGAAGGGAAGCUAUCCUUCAAAAAUAUAAAGCUCGACCUUCACAGCAGCUACAAGCUGUGCCUCAGGUCCUUAAAGUAUCAGAUAAGAAGCUGAUAGAACAGCCUUCUCUCAAGCUGGCUUCUGCUAAUGCUUCCCAAGAAGAAAUUAACGGUGUCAAGGAUGAUGGAAGAGAUGUAGUUGAGAAGUCAUUAAAUUUGGGGAAAUCUUCUUUGGGAAGUGGCACUACUGCUUCUGAACGGAGCAUUAUUGUGUUGGGGCAGGGCUCCCCUAAGAGUGAAAGGUCAAAUGAUAUGUUCUGUGAUGAUAUAUUUGGAGAUUCCCCUGCUGGAGUUCGUAAGAUGGGUAAGGGUGAUGGCCUGCCUCUUGAAAGGAGUGGUCUUCAUGAUAAUUGGGAUGAUCCAGAGGGUUAUUAUAGCUUUCGGUUUGGUGAAAUACUUGAUAGCCGCUAUGAAAUUACAGCAGCUCAUGGUAAAGGUGUAUUUUCAACCGUCGUUCGUGCAAAGGAUCUCAAAGCUGGAAGUAGCGAUCCCGAGGAAGUCGCUAUCAAAAUUAUACGGAAUAAUGAAACUAUGUUAAAAGCAGGUACCGAAGAGCUGGUGAUUUUGAAGAAGCUAGUUGGUGCAGAUCCAGAUGAUAGGCGACACUGUGUUCGUUAUCUUUCGCAUUUCAAGUACCGUAACCAUCUUUGUAUAGUUUUUGAAUCUCUUCAUAUGAAUCUCCGUGAGGUUCUAAAGAAGUUUGGUCGUAAUAUUGGCCUUAAGCUUACUGCUGUGAGAACCUAUGCGAAGCAACUAUUCAUCUCGCUGAAGCAUCUCAGAAAUUGUGGAGUUCUACAUUGUGACAUAAAGCCUGAUAAUAUGCUGGUAAAUGAUUCUAAAAAUGUGCUGAAGCUUUGUGAUUUUGGAAAUGCAAUGUUUGCUGGUAAAAAUGAAAUUACACCAUACCUUGUGAGCCGUUUUUAUCGUGCUCCUGAGAUUAUUCUCGGUUUACCGUAUGAUCAUCCCAUGGACAUCUGGUCAGUUGGUUGUUGCUUGUAUGAGUUGUAUACUGGAAAAGUUCUUUUUCCAGGUCCUUCAAACAAUGAUAUGCUUCGCCUGCACAUGGAACUGAAGGGUCCUUUUCCCAAAAAGAUGCUUCGUAAGGGAGCUUUCAUUGAACAGCAUUUUGACCAGGACUUAAAUUUUCUUGCCACAGAAGAAGAUCCUGUUACCAAGAAGAUUAUGAGGAGGCUGAUCGUUAACAUUAAGCCAAAAGAUAUUGGUCACAUUAUUAGGGGAUCUGCAGGCGAAGAUCCAAAAAUGUUGGCUAACUUCAAGGAUUUACUGGACAAAAUUUUUGCCCUAGAUCCGGAUAAAAGGCUAACCGUUUCCCAGGCCUUGAAUCACUCAUUUAUCACGGGCAAGUGAAAUAAGAUGCUGAUUUUCUGACUCCAGAAUUGCUGUUGCACUAGAUUUUUGUACAUUGCGGUCCUAAUUUAUAUCAGACUCUAAUCUUUGGGAAUUUACCUGUCUAUCUUUUCUGCACUACUAUGGGACUGAGUUUGUGGAGAUCCUUCUGGCGGUGCUCAAGUUGGAGUUGAAAAGCCAAAAUGAUUGGGAGGUCGCUUACUGGCAGUUCUCAAUGGAAUGUGUUCUAUUUCUAUUGAAUUUCCAGUUCUUUGGGGCAACCCUCCAAUCUUUAUAUGCUUAGAAGGCACACUGGAGAAGGCUAUGGCUCUGAAGAUGUUUGGUGCUGUUUCACAUGGAUGUUCGAAUAGGGACUGUUUCUUGCUUCUGCAACUUCUUUUAGGCGUGGUGAGUGGAGAUGCGAGCUAACUCGCCUUCAGCGCGUGCUUUGGCUGCUGGCACUUUUUAGAGAGGGACUCUUAAUGCCUGGGUGCAGCAUGUCUUUCUUGUUACUAAUUGCGGCUAUUUUCUCCACCAUUAUGGAGGACGCAGGUAUGCGCGAUUUUUGGUUGAGACGAUUGGAAAUGGGUUUUGAAAUAUCCCCAUUCAAAUAGAAGCGUCAAUCAAAAAGAUACUCUAAAGGCUUCGAGAUCGAUGUCUUAUUAGCUGAAGAAGACCCUGGCCAAUAUGUGGCCUGUUUGACGAACGUCAGCGAUGGAGAAAUCGUAAUUGUCUCUGCGUGCAUUGCGGUAAGCAGAUGUGUGGUUAGGUGUGGAGUUCAAGGUUCACACCUGGUAUGUUUUUCCUUUUCUGUGUUCUCUUUACAUUUUCUCUUUGUUUGUUGCGUCUCUGUUAAUGCUUGCUUCCAACUCCCGGUCCCUUGCAUUUUUCUACUGUAACAUUAUAUUUAAUAUCACCUAGCAAAGUUUUGGAAUCGGGGUCUGUAUUGUCUCUCAAAUGAAAUCUAUACCCUUUAACUAUGAAAAUGUUUAUUUUCAUUUUGGAACUGAAUGUGAUCAUUUGUUUUUGAUGAAUGAAGCACAAGCCUUAUUAGGGUAUUUUAUAUUUUUCACCUCUUCAGUACUAAGAGUUCAUUGCUCUGGUUAUAUCUCUAAACUUUCAAUUUUGUUGAAGUUCAUUGCUACUGUAGUACCAAUAUUGGGCUUGCAUAUGUUUAUUUUUGCUCAAGUAUGGGAGAGUUGUAUCAUGCAGAUCAUGCAUUUGUAAAUGAGGCAGGAAAUUUUAUGGAUGAUUUUAUACACUUAUCUCAUUUUUUUA